GGUUAAGCGACUAAGCGUACACGGUGGAUGCCCUGGCAGUCAGAGGCGAUGAAGGACGUGCUAAUCUGCGAAAAGCGUCGGUAAGGUGAUAUGAACCGUUAUAACCGGCGAUGUCCGAAUGGGGAAACCCAGUGCAAUUCGUUGCACUAUCGUUAACUGAAUACAUAGGUUAACGAGGCGAACCGGGGGAACUGAAACAUCUAAGUACCCCGAGGAAAAGAAAUCAACCGAGAUUCCCCCAGUAGCGGCGAGCGAACGGGGAGCAGCCCAGAGUCUGAAUCAGCUUGUGUGUUAGUGGAACGGUCUGGAAAGUCCGACGGUACAGGGUGAUAGUCCCGUACACCAAAAUGCACAGGUUGUGAACUCGAAGAGUAGGGCGGGACACGUGGUAUCCUGUCUGAAUAUGGGGGGACCAUCCUCCAAGGCUAAAUACUCCUGACUGACCGAUAGUGAACCAGUACCGUGAGGGAAAGGCGAAAAGAACCCCGGCGAGGGGAGUGAAAAAGAACCUGAAACCGUGUACGUACAAGCAGUGGGAGCACCUUCGGGUGUGACUGCGUACCUUUUGUAUAAUGGGUCAGCGACUUAUAUUCUGUAGCAAGGUUAACCGUAUAGGGGAGCCGCAGGGAAACCGAGUCUUAACUGGGCGUUAAGUUGCAGGGUAUAGACCCGAAACCCGGUGAUCUAGCCAUGGGCAGGUUGAAGGUUGGGUAACACUAACUGGAGGACCGAACCGACUAAUGUUGAAAAAUUAGCGGAUGACUUGUGGCUGGGGGUGAAAGGCCAAUCAAACCGGGAGAUAGCUGGUUCUCCCCGAAAGCUAUUUAGGUAGCGCCUCGUGAAUUCAUCUUCGGGGGUAGAGCACUGUUUCGGCUAGGGGGUCAUCCCGACUUACCAACCCGAUGCAAACUACGAAUACCGAAGAAUGUUAUCACGGGAGACACACGGCGGGUGCUAACGUCCGUCGUGAAGAGGGAAACAACCCAGACCGCCAGCUAAGGUCCCAAAGUCAUGGUUAAGUGGGAAACGAUGUGGGAAGGCACAGACAGCCAGGAUGUUGGCUUAGAAGCAGCCAUCAUUUAAAGAAAGCGUAAUAGCUCACUGGUCGAGUCGGCCUGCGCGGAAGAUGUAACGGGGCUAAACCAUGCACCGAAGCUGCGGCAGCGACACUAUGUGUUGUUGGGUAGGGGAGCGUUCUGUAAGCCUGCGAAGGUGUGCUGUGAGGCAUGCUGGAGGUAUCAGAAGUGCGAAUGCUGACAUAAGUAACGAUAAAGCGGGUGAAAAGCCCGCUCGCCGGAAGACCAAGGGUUCCUGUCCAACGUUAAUCGGGGCAGGGUGAGUCGACCCCUAAGGCGAGGCCGAAAGGCGUAGUCGAUGGGAAACAGGUUAAUAUUCCUGUACUUGGUGUUACUGCGAAGGGGGGACGGAGAAGGCUAUGUUAGCCGGGCGACGGUUGUCCCGGUUUAAGCAUGUAGGCUGGUUAUCCAGGCAAAUCCGGAUAAUCAAGGCUGAGGUGUGAUGACGAGGCACUACGGUGCUGAAGUAACAAAUGCCCUGCUUCCAGGAAAAGCCUCUAAGCAUCAGGUAACAUCAAAUCGUACCCCAAACCGACACAGGUGGUCAGGUAGAGAAUACCAAGGCGCUUGAGAGAACUCGGGUGAAGGAACUAGGCAAAAUGGUGCCGUAACUUCGGGAGAAGGCACGCUGGUGUGUAGGUGAAGCCCCUGCGGGUGGAGCUGAGACCAGUCGAAGAUACCAGCUGGCUGCAACUGUUUAUUAAAAACACAGCACUGUGCAAACACGAAAGUGGACGUAUACGGUGUGACGCCUGCCCGGUGCCGGAAGGUUAAUUGAUGGGGUUAUCCGUAAGGAGAAGCUCUUGAUCGAAGCCCCGGUAAACGGCGGCCGUAACUAUAACGGUCCUAAGGUAGCGAAAUUCCUUGUCGGGUAAGUUCCGACCUGCACGAAUGGCGUAAUGAUGGCCAGGCUGUCUCCACCCGAGACUCAGUGAAAUUGAACUCGCUGUGAAGAUGCAGUGUACCCGCGGCAAGACGGAAAGACCCCGUGAACCUUUACUAUAGCUUGACACUGAACAUUGAGCCUUGAUGUGUAGGAUAGGUGGGAGGCUUUGAAGCGUGGACGCCAGUCUGCGUGGAGCCAACCUUGAAAUACCACCCUUUAAUGUUUGAUGUUCUAACGUUGGCCCCUGACCGGGGUUGCGGACAGUGUCUGGUGGGUAGUUUGACUGGGGCGGUCUCCUCCCAAAGCGUAACGGAGGAGCACGAAGGUUAGCUAAUCCUGGUCGGACAUCAGGAGGUUAGUGCAAUGGCAUAAGCUAGCUUGACUGCGAGCGUGACGGCGCGAGCAGGUGCGAAAGCAGGUCAUAGUGAUCCGGUGGUUCUGAAUGGAAGGGCCAUCGCUCAACGGAUAAAAGGUACUCCGGGGAUAACAGGCUGAUACCGCCCAAGAGUUCAUAUCGACGGCGGUGUUUGGCACCUCGAUGUCGGCUCAUCACAUCCUGGGGCUGAAGUAGGUCCCAAGGGUAUGGCUGUUCGCCAUUUAAAGUGGUACGCGAGCUGGGUUUAGAACGUCGUGAGACAGUUCGGUCCCUAUCUGCCGUGGGCGCUGGAGAAUUGAGGGGGGCUGCUCCUAGUACGAGAGGACCGGAGUGGACGCAUCACUGGUGUUCGGGUUGUCAUGCCAAUGGCACUGCCCGGUAGCUAAAUGCGGAAGAGAUAAGUGCUGAAAGCAUCUAAGCACGAAACUUGCCCCGAGAUGAGUUCUCCCUGAGACUUUAAGUCUCCUGAAGGAACGUUAAAGACGAUGACGUUGAUAGGCCGGGUGUGUAAGCGCAGCGAUGCGUUGAGCUAACCGGUACUAAUGAACCGUGAGGCUUAACCUU
rnacentral:rRNA from 1 species